AAACGAACCAGGUCAAUGCUUCAGCAAAUGACAUUUGAACGAUCCAUCAUCUCUUUCACACAUUUCUUCACUUCUGCAAUCUCAAUUCGAAAGCUCCAUGAUCCGCGGACGAAGAAACAACACGAGCAUGGAUGAACAUUCGAAUCAAUUGUGCUUCAACAAUCCCUUUCACAUUCUAGAAAUCAAGAGAAAGCUUCAAAUCCUCACUAAAUUGUUUGUGCACGUGAGGUAUGAGAAGAACGUGGAAUCACAACGGAUUGUGGAUUGAAGCAAUAAUGUAGAAGAAAACUCACCGGAUUUGAAUCUGCCGCGGUGGAAAAAUAGGAAAAUGAAAAAAUGAGUAAUGAGUGAGCCUCCUCAGAAUUUGCAGUGAAGUAUUGUUUAUAUACAAUCUCGAUUUAACUGAGUCAAACUCUGUUAAAUCUGAGAAGCUUUAGGGUGAAUGUUAUGAUGGAGCUUUCACUUGUGUAUUCAGAAUGAAAGAACUUUGCUUUGGUGUUCUGUAGGUCGAUGCAUUAUGAACUUGACAGGUGUGUUUUGUUUAAAACAGGUGCAUGGUGGAAUUUGCUUUGAAUUUUUCACUUGGUAUAUUGUGUUAAAUGGAUUGCAGGUGGAAUGUUUGUGCUCAGUGUGCUGGGCUAUUCGAAUGAAAGAGCUUGGUUUGUUUUGUUUAAAACAAGUGCAGGGUUAAGUGUUAGUUGAAAUGGGAGGGCUAAGUCUGAUUUGGUGUGUUGCAUUGGUUGAGUUUUGCAGGGUGAUGUGUUUUACUGAGUUAUGCAGGUGGAAAAUUUUGUUGAUUUUCUAUCAUGAGAUGUUGCUUGGAAGAUGUCAACAGGGCUUUGUUGAAGUGAGACAUAUUAGCUGGAGUGUGUUGAGUUCAUGGACUGUGUAGACUUGUGAUUGAUUUUAGAUUAGUUGUAGAACUUGUUUAUUAGGUUUAUAAGAUUUUAAAUGGGGUCAUGUAAUGAAUUGAAUAUUUAUUGAAUUGAAUUCGUACGGAAAGUGUAUUGGAUUGUAUUGAAUGAAAGUUUGAAUGUGGAUGGAUGUUGUUAAUUGUU